rnacentral:ncRNA from 12 species
UGUUGCAACAGCCCCGUGGAUUGGGAGGAUCGGCCAGAUGAGGCCGGUCCUCAAGUGAGUCCGCUGCAACG